rnacentral:rRNA from 1 species
UGCAAGUCGAGCGGUAACAGAAAGUAGCUUGCUACUUUGCUGACGAGCGGCGGACGGGUGAGUAAUGCUUGGGAACAUGCCUUGAGGUGGGGGACAACAGUUGGAAACGACUGCUAAUACCGCAUAAUGUCUACGGACCAAAGGGGGCUUCGGCUCUCGCCUUUAGAUUGGCCCAAGUGGGAUUAGCUAGUUGGUGAGGUAAUGGCUCACCAAGGCGACGAUCCCUAGCUGGUUUGAGAGGAUGAUCAGCCACACUGGGACUGAGACACGGCCCAGACUCCUACGGGAGGCAGCAGUGGGGAAUAUUGCACAAUGGGCGCAAGCCUGAUGCAGCCAUGCCGCGUGUGUGAAGAAGGCCUUCGGGUUGUAAAGCACUUUCAGUCAGGAGGAAAGGUUAGUAGUUAAUACCUGCUAGCUGUGACGUUACUGACAGAAGAAGCACCGGCUAACUCCGUGCCAGCAGCCGCGGUAAUACGGAGGGUGCGAGCGUUAAUCGGAAUUACUGGGCGUAAAGCGUACGCAGGCGGUUUGUUAAGCGAGAUGUGAAAGCCCCGGGCUCAACCUGGGAACUGCAUUUCGAACUGGCAAACUAGAGUGUGAUAGAGGGUGGUAGAAUUUCAGGUGUAGCGGUGAAAUGCGUAGAGAUCUGAAGGAAUACCGAUGGCGAAGGCAGCCACCUGGGUCAACA